GACGAACCGUGCGAACGUUGUUCGGAAUCACUGGGCUUAAAGGGCGCGUAGGCGGCUUGCCAAGUCAGUGGUGAAAUCCCACAGCUUAACUGUGGAAGUGCCUUUGAUACUGGCGAGCUCGAGGGAGGUAGGGGUAUGUGGAACUUCUGGUGGAGCGGUGAAAUGCGUUGAUAUCAGAAGGAACGCCGGUGGCGAAAGCGACGUACUGGACCUCUUCUGACGCUGAGGCGCGAAAGCCAGGGGAGCGAACGGG
rnacentral:rRNA from 1 species